ensembl:lncRNA
GGUUUUUCAAUCUGAGGAAACUCUUUAAUCCUGGAGAAUUUCCUACCGUCGUGUCUUUGGAUACAGCGUCUCUCUCAUUUCUUUUCCUUCCUUCUCGCUCUUUCUUCCACACCCUCUAAUGUCUCAUGCAUGGUCCCCAUCUUGGGUCUCUCUCUGUGGCAUCCUAAGUUUUCCAGAUAAAACGUCCACUCACCAAUUCCCUCUUCAGUUGAUCUGUCUGCAGUUUAGCUAGUCACUCCCAUCUCAGUCUCUCUCUGCCUCUCCACACUCUCUCCACCAGCCUCUUACUUGCCUUUUCUCCUCAGCUCCUCCAGAGAAGCUGGGCUUUCUGCCCUGAGGCCUUUGUAUGUGCUGUUAGCUCUGCCUGGCAGAUCGCUGUCACCCAGCCUCCUUCUGGCUGCUGCUUCCUGUUCAUUCCUUGUUCUCAGCGACCUUACCCUGAGCCUCUGGGAAACUAGCUGGAUGAGAUGCUUCCUACUUCACUUGUUCAAGUCCCCUCUGAUUUCAUUUAGGUGACACUCCUCUGCCAUUCAUGGGCAUUUUUUCUCAAAAUUUUAUUUUCCUCUUGGUGGGAAAUUCCUGAAGGGCUACGCCUACCCCGUCUUCCCAGCACCUGGCUCAGAGAUGCGCACCUAGCAGCCUCUUCAAAGGAGGAUGACAUUUAUGGAUACAAGACUGAAAUCAGCCAACAGAGUCCGGCUGAAGGGUCACAUGCAGCUCCAUGAUGUCACCUGUGUCAUCUCCCUCGAGCCAAUAUCCUGACCUUUCCCAUCCAGGAGGCAUGGUGUGGAAUGUGGUGGAGAGCACCAUGGCUACCUUGCCAGGCCUGGCAUCGCGUGGUGAUGCACAUCACAGCUCCUCUGUGAGGCCUCCACGACCAGGCUGUCUGGAGGCAAGGCUCCUGAGCGCCAGAGUCAUGACCUACACAAGUCCACCCUCCACGCUGAGACCUCUGAGCUGCUGGCAGUGUGAGCACCGCAGAGUCACCCACCAUAAAGCACCACCGCGGGCUCCUGGGGAGGCCAGCGUGCUCAUCCACUGGGUCACUGGGCAGUAUGUUUUCCUUCCUGGGACUGGAAGGAAGCAGCACUUGAUUCUAGAGAGAAGCAAAAUAUGACUUUUAUGGAAAUGUGUUUAAGAUCUAACAAGUCAGGCACCAUGUGAGACUGUGAUCUGUAUUAACUCCUUUACUG